rnacentral:piRNA from 1 species
UCCUUACAACAGAGCAAGGUUUACAGGUU